GACGAACUGUUAAGCUUCAAACAGUAAGAUGUAAAUGCUUGCAUAAGUAGUGUGCUAGAUACUGAAUCACUUUUUUGUUUUUAUUCUGCACCCCUCCUCCCAGCCUGGGAAAGCUUUACAUGAAGUGAUUCUUUGGUAUUUUUCGCAAAAAGUAAUAUGGGGCUGGGGCGGGAUAGGGGGAAUAUUGUACCCAUUUUCGUUUUAUAAAGACUCAAAAUUUUCUCCGAAUUGUUUAGUUUUAGCUUAAAAAAGAAAAUUAAGCCAGUAUAUUGUACAUGCCACAUAUAUGAAAUACCUCUUCUUACCAGAGAUGUUCCUGAAACAAAUCCUUAAAUAAAUCUUGCCCUAAGCCCACUUU
rnacentral:lncRNA from 1 species